AGCUGGUCCAGUGGAACCAAGUCGACCUUUCUUGGGAUUUGGUCCCCUUCAACCAGCUGU
rnacentral:pre_miRNA from 1 species